rnacentral:rRNA from 1 species
CCCUUAGAUGUUCUGGGCCGCACGCGCGCUACACUGACGAAGUCAGCGAGCAUGUCCUACGCCGACAGGUGCGGGGAAUCUUGUCAAACUUCGUCGUGAUGGGGAUUGAUUAUUGAAAUUCUUGAUCAUCAACGAGGAAUUCCUAGUAAGCGCAAGUCAGCAGCUUGCGUUGAUUACGUCCCUGCCCUUUGUACACACCGCCCGUCGCUACUACCGAUUGAAUGGUUUAGUGAGAUCUUCGGAUUGGCUCCACUGCGGCUCAGCAAUGGGCUCGGUGGAUGCCGAAAAGUUGAUCAAACUUGAUCAUUUAGAGGAAGUAAAAGUCGUAACA